rnacentral:rRNA from 1 species
AUUGAACGCUGGCGGCAUGCCUUACACAUGCAAGUCGAACGGUAUCGCGGGGCAACCUGGCGACGAGUGGCGAACGGGUGAGUAAUGUAUCGGAACGUGCCCAGUUGUGGGGGAUAACUGCUCGAAAGAGCAGCUAAUACCGCAUACGACCUGAGGGUGAAAGCGGGGGAUCGCAAGACCUCGCGCAAUUGGAGCGGCCGAUAUCAGAUUAGGUAGUUGGUGGGGUAAAGGCUCACCAAGCCAACGAUCUGUAGCUGGUCUGAGAGGACGACCAGCCGCACUGGGACUGAGACACGGCCCAGACUCCUACGGGAGGCAGCAGUGGGGAAUUUUGGACAAUGGACGCAAGUCUGAUCCAGCCAUGCCGCGUGCGGGAAGAAGGCCUUCGGGUUGUAAACCGCUUUUGUCAGGGAAGAAACGCUCUGGGUUAAUACCUCGGGGUAAUGACGGUACCUGAAGAAUAAGCACCGGCUAACUACGUGCCAGCCGCCGCAGUAAGAC